UACUUCUCUUUUGCCACUUCCACUCCAGAAAGCUAAUUUUCAACCACUAAAAUGGAAUUUAGGAUUUAGAAAUAGCUACUGUGUUGACUAAUUAAAAAAAAAAAAUCCCCUGAUUACAUAGCCAAUUGCCUUUUCAAGUACACCCAAUUUUACUUUUUUCCUUUCUAGUAACAACACCCUGGUGUAAAAACAAAAUCAAACCGAGGAAACUCACUGCAGAGUUUCAGAUUCAUCUCAUCUCUCAUUUCUUGCCCCGAUAACCAUCUCUCUCCCCACCCACCACCCCAUGCAGCAGUAGAUUGUCCUUUAAAGAAAAACACGCGGAGACAAUCUAGGGUGUAUGCACAGACUCAUUAAAAUCCCUCCUGUCCAGUCUCUGCCCCUCCCCGCAGCCUGCCCGUUGGCUGCUGGGCGCCGCCUGAUCCAGCCCUGCACUCGGUGGUACAAUAUGUGGAGCUCAGACUGCUCUUUCUCUCUCUCUCCUCUCUCCCCUUCUGCCUCCCCCGGAGCGAGUGGCUCGUUUUAAACCCUCGCACACUCGCUGAUCCAGGUGGCGUCGCUCGCUGCGGCUCCUGCUCGCUGUUGCUAAGUGAGAGGCACCAAAUCGCACGGAAAGCUGAACCAAUAGCAUCCUGACCCCCAGAGGCUGGUAAAAGCUGAAGAAAGAGAACCCCACCGUGCGGUCUGCGACCGGCGGGUCCUCCUCCCCCUCCCACCUUUUCUUUUGCAACAGGAAGGGGAGGUGGCAAGGGAGAUGGUAGGAGGAAGAGGGAAGAAAGAAGGGGGGAGGUGGAUCCUAAUACGCUUGGCUGUACUUGAGAUAAAUGCCUUUUUUUUUUUCUUUGUGAAGGAAGAGGAACGGUCGCUUCCCCCGUGCAAUCGCACACCAGCAGAUGCGCUUCUCUCUGCCCCCAAACUGCCUGCGUGGUCAGGGCUCAUCUGAAUAAGAUGUCUGUUGACCUGCACAUCCGCGCGGCUUUUCUCUCUCCCCGCGCAGCCUGCAAUCUUUGAAUCCCGCAGUUCUGCGGAUCUGGGCACCCUGUUCCUUCCUCCUGCUCUCUCUCUCUCUCGCCUUUCCUUUCUGUCUUGUGACAGUCUCCUCCCAUUCCUGAGUGCAUUUCCUUUGAAUGCAAAAAUGAGCAAAGGGUAUUUUAUGUGUCAUCUCCUGACGUCCUUAGAUCAUUUUAGGGAGUGGGACAAGGGCAGAGGCAUAUUUAUAAAGGUAAUUAAAAAAAAAACACACACACAACCCAUUAAGGAUUCAUAGUCUUUUGGCAAGGUCUGUGCUAGUACAAAGUGAAAUGAGAGGCUGUUCUUAACUGGCUCACUGCCAGUGUAGACAGCCAGUGGUAUAGUUGAGAUUAUACCCAGGAAAUGACCUUUCUCCUAUAAUUACCAGGAUAUUUUAGGCAACAUCAGACCCGAGUUACCUGGGUAAUUAUGGCUUUGUAGAUCUGACCUUAGAACAAAACAGAUUCGGUGGAAAAUGUUUGCUCUCUUUGGUGAUGACAGUGUGAAGGUGCCCCUUGCCCUCACAGCCACAGGAAGCCUAAGUUCAAGGAGACUUUCCUCCAUUCUGUGUCAAGCAGGUUCCCAGCAAGUUGCUCCUGACCUUUUGGAGAUGGCGCUAUUGUUUGGUUGCUUUGAGAAACUAAUCUGCAUUUAUUUCUGAACCAAGGAUGUUGAGGUGCUCUGUAACCUCCUGGGUUUGCUCUGUUUGGGUGGGAUGUCAGAGGACCAUGUCAGGCUUAGAUGGCCCACUUGCCCCGGAAGUGUUCUCUUUGUAUUUGAAAUCCCUUCCCUUCACUCAAGGUCACACAGAGGAAUGACUAUUAUUCUCAUCCUCCACCUGCUUCUCCCAGCCUUUAUACUCAUUUGGGGCUUUUUGUUUGUUUAUGUGAACAAAACGAAACUGCUUUCAUAAAGAAAGUAUCUGCUUAAGCAAAAGGGAAGCCCCACUGAAAAACCUUACCCAGUGCUGAAUGUCUGGGACAUUUUCCUUUUUUGUCUCAAAAGUUUCUUUUUCUCAUUAUCAUGAGAAGAUAGUCAGGCUGCCAGCCCUUGUUUAUAAUAUUUAAAGAGAAAAUUCAUAGAUAACCUUCAAACCUCAUUUUACUUUCAGUCUCCUCCAAGUUAAACCGAAGGGAUUUAUGGGUCACCCAACACCUUAGUCUACUGUGCCUAUUCUGGGGGAAAGAUGUUAAUGACAAACUAAUGCUGCAAAAAUGGGCCCAGAAGUUAAGAAACAAGACAGACAGACAGACCAACAAAUCCUAUACAGGCGCUGUGCUCCGCCAAGGAAACCUGCCAGGACCAGCUCCUCUGCUUCUGGUUUAUAAUUCUCCUCCUCCAAACCCCAGCUUCACACCACUCCCAACUCAUUUGGCCACACACAGACCCCUCUAAGUCCCCCAGCACUUUCCCCUCGAGUGCACACUGGUCUGACAUCCUUCGUGGGCCUCCUUAUAAGGCCUCUGUCAGAUUGCCCUGGGGACCUGCUGUGUCCUCUGCUCUGUGCCUUUGCUUACAGGUGCCCUCUGUCCAGACCGUUCCUUUCCCUCAAGCCUCUCCCGUGGAUAACUUGGUCUGAGAAGUGCUCUUAAAUACAAUUUCCCCAGUGAACGCUCUCUCAGGGUCUCCCCCUCAGACUUUAUCUUCCAGUCCUUUGAAGCACCAUGGCUACCUUUUCCUUUCCUCUUUUGGAACUUUUUACUUUCUACUUUCAGUUGAACUUGCUGCAUCCUGGGUAGUACUGGUGCAGCCCAAGGAGGUCUCUAGUCCCUCUCUUGUGUCCACUUUGGCAUUCCUGCAAAGCCACAUCAAAUAAAUAUAUAAUUGCACACAGA